GGUGUUUUUUAUGGAUGUACCUGGUUGCGAUGAAGCUAAACAAGAAAUAAUUCUAUCACUUAUUACCUUUGUCCUUCAAAUUUGAGUAUAGGCCUGCGAAAUAAUGAAUAUUUGUGUCUCAUUGCUCCAGCAUGGUCAAUAAAGAUAUGUUGACCCAGGAAAUGUGGGUUUAUCAUAGGUCCUACUGUAUACGUUGAUAUAUGAAAUAUGAUAUUUACGGUUAUAUGCUAUCACUUAUUGCCUUUGUCCUUUGCAUUGAGUAUAGGCCUGUGAAAUAAUGGUGUAUUUGUGUGUUGAUUCGUCUGUUUUCCUUCAUGUUCUGGUUCUAAGGUACCAGGACAGACCCAGAGUUAUUUGUAAAAAAAUGCGUUCCAAUGUACCAAUAUUUUGUAUCCUUUCUAAUGCUUAAAAAAGAGGCGAAUAAUUCUUUUAUAAUAUGUAAUAUAUGACAUGUGUAACACACCUUAAGAGACUACUAAGUUAUCCUGUAUAAUUGGCACGCCCUACUUUUGUAGUAAUAAAUAUAUCAGGUGCUGCUCCAUACAGGUGAUACAUUGCAUUUACCAUAGUAUUUGAUUACAUAUGAUAACAUAAAAUCUGUUUUUUCCUUAGCGGUUCGGCACAUUAGUACAUAGAAACAGCGUACAGGCAAAUUGAUUAGAUGCAUUAGUUAAGAACACUGAUUUUUUUGGAAAGCUUCAUCAUGACAUCGAUAUUGGUUUCGCCUUACUACCACUCAGAGGUUGGAUGGAGCAUCGAGGAUUUCAGGCUUGGGGUGGCCACGUGUUGCAGGAUAGCAGGAAGAGUUGGAUGUGUUCUGCAGAGACGAGGUGAUCAAUGUCGUUGCCGCCAGGUAGCUGAAGUACAAAACUUCUAAAUUUCCUCAUUUAUUUAUCCUCAUAGUUGGUUCCCUUGAUACUUUUUCUUAGAAACAUGAUCAAAGAUACAAAAAGUUUUACUUCUCAAGCAGAAGUGGCAGUAUAGUGUGCAUGUCGUAUUGCAAGUAGAUUUUAUAGAUACCAAUAGAAAUAAUAACUUGGGAUUUAUUUCUGUUCAACCUCUGUGAUCUAGAUGAGCAAAGCAACAACUUUGGCUUUAUUUCUUUGUGAUGUAGAUGAGAAAAAUAGUACCUUGGAUUUUAAUUCUAUUCUCUAUGAUGUAGAUUAGCAAGAUUUCUAACCAACAAAGUAAUUUAUUUUAGUAUGGUUUUGUCACUAUGAUUGGUAAUAUGAAGUUUAUUUAUUCUAGGUUCCUAUCUUUAGACAGUCACAUCCACGUUCGUACUUUUAGAAUAGUUGUUGCAACGGGGAAGAGCAUUUUUGCAAUAGCAAGAUAUCAGGACCCAAUGGGCAUAGGCCGAACCAACCACCAUCACUAUUGCUUCAGGAUUAGAUAGCCAACUUCCACUCACGAGGUGAGUUUGCUUACUCUACUUUCAGUGUACUGUGCAGAUAUGUUGGUUAGAAAUUUUGCUAUGUGUCUGUCAAGUUGAUUAGAUACGAAAAAUAUGCUCUAUAAUACCCACAUAAUACUUGUUUAAAUUGGCUUUUCCCUGGUUCAUCAGUGCACACAUGAAACCGGUAAUAAGAAGAGAAUCACCUGAUUUUUUAUAGUCUAUUUUAGUAAGCAUGUUCAUAAUAUUAGGAUAGUUUAAUUUGAGAACAAUCGGCUGGAGGAACGAUGUAAUUUGAUACUCUGUUAUGUUGAUCUCCAGAGAAAUUUGGUUUUUGGUUUUUCAUUGAUGUACGUUAAUCUGUUGUGAAUCUUGUUUGCUUGCACCAAUUAUAUGUGUAACAAUUAGAGGGGAACUUUUGGAACUCAUACAUUCUAUUUCAGUUAAUGUUCAAAGCAACUUUCCUGUGUGAAUCUGAUAAUCUUACUGAAACCUGUGUUUCAUUGUGUAUAUUCAGCCUCUCGAGUCAAGUUUCAGACGAUCAUGUAUCCCCUUGAUAUUCACUGGAUGGAAUCCCCUAUUUUACUCAGACUGAACCUUCUACAAACAUCAGAAAAGCAACAGUAAUAAAGAUGGACAGAAAUUCCAAAAAUAAGGUUAGUUCUUGUUUGUUCCGUAUCAUUCUCUUUACCGUUCCUUUUGGUACUAUACUCCAAAAAAGAGGCAAUCGGAAAUAUUUAGGUCCACUGAAAAGUAAUUCUGGAGCUCGCAGAGUUCUCAUUUUUCAGAUUUGUAGUAGUAUUCGCUUUUGGUUUACAUGAUAUUGGCUGUAUCUCCCUGACAACUGCUCUUUGGUUGGUGUAGGUGUUUUUUUAUGGAUGUACCUGGUUGCGAUGAAGCUAAACAAGAAAUAAUGCUAUCACUUAUUACCUUUGUCCUUCAAAUUUGAGUAUAGGCCUGCGAAAUAAUGAAUAUUUGUGUCUCAUUGCUCCAGCAUGGUCAAUAAAGAUAUGUUGACCCAGGAAAUGUGGGUUUAUCAUAGGUCCUACUGUAUACGUUGAUAUAUGAAAUAUGACAUUUACGGUUAUAUGCUAUCACUUAUUGCCUUUGUCCUUUGCAUUGAGUAUAGGCCUGUGAAAUAAUGGUGUAUUUGUGUGUUGAUUCGUCUGUUUUCCUUCAUGUUCUGGUUCUAAGGUACCAGCACAGACCCAGAGUUAUUUGCAAAAAAAUGCGUUCCAAUGUACCAAUAUUUUGUAUCCUUUCUAAUGCUUAAAAAAGAGGCGAAUAAUUAUUUUAUAAUAUGUAAUAUAUGACAUGUGUAACGCACCUUAAGAGACUACUAAGUUAUCCUGUAUAAUUGGCACGCCCUACUUUUGUAGUAAUAAAUAUAUCAGGUGCUGCUCCAUACAGGUGAUACAUUGCAUUUACCAUAGUAUUUGAUUACAUAUGAUAACAUAAAAUCUGUUUUUUCCUUAGCGGUUCGGCACAUUAGUGCAUAGAAACAGAGUACAGGCAAAUUGAUUAGAUGCAUUAGUUAAGAACACUGAUUUUUUUGGAAAGCUUCAUCAUGACAUCGAUAUUGGUUUCGCCUUACUACCACUCCGAGGUUGGAUGGAGCAUCGAGGAUUUCAGGCUUGGGGUGGCCACGUGUUGCAGGAUAGCAGGAAGAGUUGGAUGUGUUCUGCAGAGACGAGGUGAUCAAUGUCGUUGCCGCCAGGUAGCUGAAGUACAAAACUUCUAAAUUUGCUCAUUUAUUUAUCCUCAUAGUUGGUUCCCUUGAUACUUUUUCUUAGAAACAUGAUCAAAGAUACAAAAAGUUUUACUUCUGAAGCAGAAGUGGUAGUAUAGUGUGCAUGUCGUAUUGCAAGUAGAUUUUAUAGAUACCAAUAGAAAUAAUAACUUGGGAUUUAUUUCUGUUCAACCUCUGUGAUCUAGAUGAGCAAAGCAACAACUUUGGCUUUAUUUCUUUGUGAUGUAGAUGAGAAAAAUAGUACCUUGGAUUUUAAUUCUGUUCUCUAUGAUGUAGAUUAGCAAGAUUUCUAACCAACAAAGUAAUUUAUUUUAGUAUGGUUUUGUCACUAUGAUUGGUAAUAUGAAGUUUAUUUAUUCUAGGUUCCUAUCUUUAGACAGUCACAUCCACGUUCGUACUUUUAGAAUAGUUGUUGCAACGGGGAAGAGCAUUUUUGCAAUAGCAAGAUAUCAGGACCCAAUGGGCAUAGGCCGAACCAACCACCAUCACUAUUAUUUCAGGAUUAGAUAGCCAACUUCCACUCAUGAGGUGAGUUUGCUUACUCUACUUUCAGUGUACUGUGCAGAUAUGUUGGUUAGAAAUUUUGCUAUGUGCCUGUCAAGUUGAUUAGAUAUGAAAAAUAUGCUCUAUAAUACCCACAUAAUACUUGUUUAAAUUGGCUUUUCCCUGGUUCAUCAGUGCACACAUGAAACCGGUAAUAAGAAGAGAAUCACCUGAUUUUUUUAUAGUCUAUUUUAGUAAGCAUGUUCAUAAUAUUAGGAUAGUUUAAUUUGAGAACAAUUGGCUCGAGGAACGAUGUAAUUUGAUACUCUGUUAUGUUGAUCUCCAGAGAAAUUUGGUUUUUGGUUUUUCAUUGAUGUACGUUAAUCUGUUGUGAAUCUUGUUUGCUUGCACCAAUUAUAUGUGUAACAAUUAGAGGGGAAAUUUUGGAACUCAUACAUUCUAUUUCAGUUAAUGUUCAAAGCAACUUUCCUGUGUGAAUCUGAUAAUCUUACUAAAACCUGUGUUUCAUUGUGUAUAUUCAGCCUGUCGAGUCAAGUUUCAGACGAUCAUGUAUCCCCUUGAUAUUCACUGGAUGGAAUCCCCGGUUUUACUCAGACUGAACCUUCUACAAACAUCGGAAAAGCAACAGUAAUAAAGAUGGACAGAAAUUCCAAAAAUAAGGUUAGUUCUUCUUUGUUCCGUAUCAUUCUCUUUACCGUUCCUUUUGGUACUAUACUCCAAAAAAGAGGCAAUCGGAAAUAUUUAGGUCCACUGAAAAGUAAUUCUGGAGCUCGCAGAGUUCUCAUUUUUCAGAUUUGUAGUAGUAUUCGCUUUUGGUUUACAUGAUAUUGGCUGUAUCUCCCUGACAACUGCUCUUUGGUUGGUGUAGGUGUUUUUUUAUGGAUGUACCUGGUUGCGAUGAAGCUAAACAAGAAAUAAUGCUAUCACUUAUUACCUUUGUCCUUCAAAUUUGAGUAUAGGCCUGCGAAAUAAUGAAUAUUUGUGUCUCAUUGCUCCAUCAUGGUCAAUAAAGAUAUGUUGACCCAGGAAAUGUGGGUUUAUCAUAGGUCCUACUGUAUACGUUGAUAUAUGAAAUAUGACAUUUACGGUUAUAUGCUAUCACUUAUUGCCUUUGUCCUUUGCAUUGAGUAUAGGCCUGUGAAAUAAUGGUGUAUUUGUGUGUUGAUUCGUCUGUUUUCCUUCAUGUUCUGGUUCUAAGGUACCAGGACAGACCCAGAGUUAUUUGCAAAAAAAUGCGUUCCAAUGUACCAAUAUUUUGUGUCCUUUCUAAUGCUUAAAAAAGAGGCGAAUAAUUCUUUUAGAAUAUGUAAUAUAUGACAUGUGUAACGCACCUUAAGAGACUACUAAGUUAUCCUGUAUAAUUGGCACGCCCUACUUUUGUAGUAAUAAAUAUAUCAGGUGCUGCUCCAUACAGGUGAUACAUUGCAUUUACCAUAGUAUUUGAUUACAUAUGAUAACAUAAAAUCUGUUUUUUCCUUAGCGGUUCGGCACAUUAGUGCAUAGAAACAGAGUACAGGCAAAUUGAUUAGAUGCAUUAGUUAAGAACACUGAUUUUUUUGGAAAGCUUCAUCAUGACAUCGAUAUUGGUUUCGCCUUACUACCACUCAGAGGUUGGAUGGAGCAUCGAGGAUUUCAGGCUUGGGGUGGCCACGUGUUGCAGGAUAGCAGGAAGAGUUGGAUGUGUUCUGCAGAGACGAGGUGAUCAAUGUCGUUGCCGCCAGGUAGCUGAAGUACAAAACUUCUAAAUUUGCUCAUUUAUUUAUCCUCAUAGUUGGUUCCCUUGAUACUUUUUCUUAGAAACAUGAUCAAAGAUACAAAAAGUUUUACUUCUCAAGCAGAAGUGGCAGUAUAGUGUGCAUGUCGUAUUGCAAGUAGAUUUUAUAGAUACCAAUAGAAAUAAUAACUUGGGAUUUAUUUUUGUUCAACCUCUGUGAUCUAGAUGAGCAAAGCAACAACUUUGGCUUUAUUUCUUUGUGAUGUAGAUGAGAAAAACAGUACCUUGGAUUUUAAUUCUGUUCUCUAUGAUGUAGAUUAGCAAGAUUUCUAACCAACAAAGUAAUUUAUUUUAGUAUGGUUUUGUCACUAUGAUUGGUAAUAUGAAGUUUAUUUAUUCUAGGUUCCUAUCUUUAGACAGUCACAUCCACGUUCGUACUUUUAGAAUAGUUGUUGCAACGGGGAAGAGCAUUUUUGCAAUAGCAAGAUAUCAGGACCCAAUGGGCAUAGGCCGAACCAACCACCAUCACUAUUACUUCAGGAUUAGAUAGCCAACUUCCACUCAUGAGGUGAGUUUGCUUACUCUACUUUCAGUGUACUGUGCAGAUAUGUUGGUUAGAAAUUUUGCUAUGUGCCUGUCAAGUUGAUUAGAUAUGAAAAAUAUGCUCUAUAAUACCCACAUAAUACUUGUUUAAAUUGGCUUUUCCCUGGUUCAUCAGUGCACACAUGAAACCGGUAAUAAGAAGAGAAUCACCUGAUUUUUUUAUAGUCUAUUUUAGUAAGCAUGUUCAUAAUAUUAGGAUAGUUUAAUUUGAGAACAAUUGGCUGGAGGAACGAUGUAAUUUGAUACUCUGUUAUGUUGAUCUCCAGAGAAAUUUGGUUUUUGGUUUUUCAUUGAUGUACGUUAAUCUGUUGUGAAUCUUGUUUGCUUGCACCAAUUAUAUGUGUAACAAUUAGAGGGGAAAUUUUGGAACUCAUACAUUCUAUUUCAGUUAAUGUUCAAAGCAACUUUCCUGUGUGAAUCUGAUAAUCUUACUGAAACCUGUGUUUCAUUGUGUAUAUUCAGCCUCUCGAGUCAAGUUUCAGACGAUCAUGUAUCCCCUUGAUAUUCACUGGAUGGAAUCCCCUAUUUUACUCAGACUGAACCUUCUACAAACAUCGGAAAAGCAACAGUAAUAAAGAUGGACAGAAAUUCCAAAAAUAAGGUUAGUUCUUCUUUGUUCCGUAUCAUUCUCUUUACCGUUCCUUUUGGUACUAUACUCCAAAAAAGAGGCAAUCGGAAAUAUUUAG
rnacentral:lncRNA from 1 species